rnacentral:tRNA from 1 species
AUUUAUUUAGUAUAUUAAGUAUAUUUAACUUCCAAUUAAAAGGUCUAAUAAAAAUAGAAUAAAUA